rnacentral:pre_miRNA from 1 species
GAUAUACUCUUUUCGUCCAACAAAAGAUGUUUUAAGUUUGUCAAAAUUUGAAUGUAUCUAGAUAUAACUUAAUGCAUGGAUAAAUUCAAAUUUAGUCAAAGUUGAGACAUUUUUUAUUGGACGGAGGAAGUAGAUA